CCUACGGGAGGCAGCAGUGGGGAAUAUUGGACAAUGGGCUCACGCCCGAUCCAAAAAUAUCGCGUGGGUGAAGGAGGGCACUGUCGCUUUUCAAGCUCUUUCGUCGAGUUUCGAUCAUGACAAGACUCGAGGAAGAAGCCCCAGCUAGCUCCGUGCCAGUAGCCGCCGUAAUACGGGGGGGGCAAUUAUUAUUCGCAAUGACUGGGCGUAAAGGGCACGCAGGCGGUGAAAAGGGUGGAAAGUGAAAGUCGCCAAAACACUGGCGGGGUGAUUUCUUGACCAUUUCACUUGAGUGAGAUAGGGGAGAGUGGAAUUUCAUGUGGAGGGAUCAAAUCCUAAGAUAUACGAAGGAACGCCAACCGCGAAGACAGCUCUCUAGGUCCCCACUGACGCUGGGGUGCGAAAGCAUGGGGAGAAAACAGGAUCAGAUACCCUGGUAGUCCAUGCCGUAAGCGAUGAGUGUUCGUCCUUGGUCUGCCUACCUACUAGGUAGGAUUAGGAUCAGGGGCCCAGCUAACGCGUGAAACACUCCGCCUGGGGAGUAUGGUCGCAAGACUGAAACUCAAAUGAAUUGACGGGG
rnacentral:rRNA from 1 species